UGAGGAAUAUUGGUCAAUGGACGAGAGUCUGAACCAGCCAAGUAGCGUGAAGGAUGAAGGUUCUAUGGAUUGUAAACUUCUUUUAUACGGGAAUAAACGAAUCCACGCGUGGAUUUUUGCAUGUACCGUAUGAAUAAGGAUCGGCUAACUCCGUGCCAGCAGCCGCGGUAAUACGGAGGAUCCGAGCGUUAUCCGGAUUUAUUGGGUUUAAAGGGAGCGUAGAUGGGUUGUUAAGUCAGUUGUGAAAGUUUGCGGCUCAACCGUAAAAUUGCAAUUGAUACUGGCAGUCUUGAGUACAGUUGAGGUAGGCGGAAUUCGUGGUGUAGCGGUGAAAUGCUUAGAUAUCACGAAGAACUCCGAUUGCGAAGGCAGCUUACUAACCUGUAACUGACAUUGAUGCUCGAAAGUGUGGGUAUCAAACAGGAUUAGAUACCCUGGUAGUCCACACGGUAAACGAUGAAUACUCGCUGUAGGCGAUAUACAGUCUGCGGCCAAGCGAAAGCAUUAAGUAUUCCACCUGGGGAGUACGCCGGCAACGGUGAAACUCAAAGGAAUUGACGGGGGCCCGCACAAGCGGAGGAACAUGUGGUUUAAUUCGAUGAUACGCGAGGAACCUUACCCGGGCUUAAAUUGCAACCGAAUAUGGCGGAAACGCUAUAGCUAGCAAUAGCGGUUGUGAAGGUGCUGCAUGGUUGUCGUCAGCUCGUGCCGUGAGGUGUCGGCUUAAGUGCCAUAACGAGCGCAACCCUUGCCGAUAGUUACUAACAGGUUAUGCUGAGGACUCUGUCGGGACUGCCAUCGUAAGAUGUGAGGAAGGUGGGGAUGACGUCAAAUCAGCACGGCCCUUACGUCCGGGGCUACACACGUGUUACAAUGGGGGGUACAGAGGGCUGCUACCACGCAAGUGGAUGCCAAUCCCAAAAACCUCUCUCAGUUCGGAUUGAAGUCUGCAACCCGACUUCAUGAAGCUGGAUUCGCUAGUAAUCGCGCAUCAGCCACGGCGCGGUGAAUACGUUCCC
rnacentral:rRNA from 2 species